rnacentral:misc_RNA from 1 species
GAUGAAGAACGUAGCGAAAUGCGAUAAGUAAUGUGAGUUGCAGAAUUCAGUGAAUCAUCGAAUCUUUGAACGCACAUUGCGCCCGCCAGUAUUCUGGCGGGCAUGCCUGUUCGAGCGUCAUUUCAACCCUCAGGCCCCCAGUGCCUGGUGUUGGGGAUCGGCAGCAGGGCGUCAAGCCCGCCGGCCCCGAAAUCUAGUGGCGGUCUCGCUGUAGUCCUCCUCUGCGUAGUAGCACAACCUCGCAGUUGGAACGCGGCGGUGGCCAUGCCGUUAAACACCCCACUUCUGAAAGUUGACCUCGGAUCAGGUAGGAAUACCCGCUGAACUUAAGCAUAUCAAUAAGCGGAGGA